AACCAUAGAAACCUGCGGAGUACCUGCGGAGGGAUCAUUACAAAUCCAAACAAUUACCCGUCGUAAUGUUCUCGGCCUUGGCAAAGUUGAUAUGACUUUAUCGUCAUGAUCAUGGUGAUCGUGUGUCGUCAUCACGCACGCACAUCGCAUCACACCAAGGUUCGACUUAAUGACUUAUCAUCUUUGGACAUACUGUAACCAUGUCGUUCACUCGACAAAACCAAAACAACUUUUAACAAC
rnacentral:misc_RNA from 1 species